GUUCUCAGUUCGGACUGCAGUCUGCAACUCGACUGCACGAAGCUGGAAUCGCUAGUAAUCGCGGAUCAGCACGCCGCGGUGAAUACGUUCCCGGGCCUUGUACACACCGCCCGUCACACCAUGGGAGUCGGAAAUGCCCGAAGUCGGUGACCGAACCGAAAGGAAGGAGCCGCCGAAGGCAGGUCUGGUGACUGGGGUGAAGUCGUAACAAGGUAGC
rnacentral:rRNA from 1 species